rnacentral:rRNA from 1 species
UGGGGAAUUUUGGACAAUGGGCGCAAGCCUGAUCCAGCAAUGCCGCGUGCAGGAUGAAGGCCUUCGGGUUGUAAACUGCUUUUGUACGGAACGAAAAGCCUCUCUCUAGUACAGGGGGGUGAUGACGGUACCGUAAGAAUAAGCACCGGCUAACUACGUGCCAGCAGCCGCGGUAAUACGUAGGGUGCAAGCGUUAAUCGGAAUUACUGGGCGUAAAGCGUGCGCAGGCGGUUUUGUAAGACAGUGGUGAAAUCCCCGGGCUCAACCUGGGAACUGCCAUUGUGACUGCAAGGCUGGAGUGCGGCAGAGGGGGAUGGAAUUCCGCGUGUAGCAGUGAAAUGCGUAGAUAUGCGGAGGAACACCGAUGGCGAAGGCAAUCCCCUGGGCCUGCACUGACGCUCAUGCACGAAAGCGUGGGGAGCAAACAGGAUUAGAUACCCUGGUAGUCCACGCCCUAAACGAUGUCAACUGGUUGUUGGGGAUUUAUUUCUUCAGUAACGAAGCUAACGCGUGAAGUUGACCGCCUGGGGGAGUACGG